UUGAACGCUGGCGGCAGGCCUAACACAUGCAAGUCGAACGGUAACAGGAAGAAGCUUGCUUCUUUGCUGACGAGUGGCGGACGGGUGAGUAAUGUCUGGGAAACUGCCUGAUGGAGGGGGAUAACUACUGGAAACGGUAGCUAAUACCGCAUAAUGUCGCAAGACCAAAGAGGGGGCCCUCCGGGCCCUUUGCCAUCGGAUGUGCCCAGAUGGGAUUAGCUAGUAGGUGGGGUAACGGCUCACCUAGGCGACGAUCCCUAGCUGGUCUGAGAGGAUGACCAGCCACACUGGAACUGAGACACGGUCCAGACUCCUACGGGAGGCAGCAGUGGGGAAUAUUGCACAAUGGGCGCAAGCCUGAUGCAGCUAUGCCGCGUGUAUGAAGAAGGCCUUCGGGUUGUAAAGUACUUUCAGCGGGGAGGAAGGGAGUAAAGUUAAUACCUUUGCUCAUUGACGUUACCCGCAGAAGAAGCACCGGCUAACUCCGUG
rnacentral:rRNA from 1 species